rnacentral:tRNA from 1 species
GGAGAGGUGUCCGAGUGGCUGAAGGAGCCGGUCUCGAAAACCGGUAGGCCCGUUUUCGGGUCUCGUGGGUUCGAAUCCCACCCUCUCCG